AGGUCUCUGCAACCAUCAUUCCUGGCCUGCAGACGGGGGCCACCACUGAACUUAGGGAGGCUGGUGCCCCUCUCACCAGCACUUUAUUGCUUUGGGCCUCCUAGGGAGCACCGUCAUCCUGUGGACUUCUCAGUUUGACGCGGUAGAGGUGAUGCGCUCUGAGCAGUCUUGCUGUAAGAACAGGAGGAGCACCUGUUGCAAGAAAAAGAGGGGUGUUGGAGCUGAAAUUUUGAUGGUGAAAUUGGACUGAGAAAGAAGCACUGAUGGAUGAAGAGCAGCCUGCUUUGGGAGCUGAAGGCUUCCUGUGUAUUCCUUGAACAGGAUCCAAAGUCAUUCCAAAUAUACCGUGAAGUGGACAUCGAUGAUGAAGCUGGUGGAGAAACCAGGUUGGAGGAAGAUGGAGAGAAAGAGAGCUGCCGCUCACCGUAUUCCUGACACAUCUGUUAUAACAUGGCCCCUGCUGAAGUGCCAUCAGAGCUCACCUCUGCUUUGAGAAGACAUUCCCUACUCCUUAAUGGAGAAGAACCCCGUCCACGCCGACCCGAAGACUCCUUACGUAACAAGUGAUCUGGAGCUGAAGCUGCAGUAUCUCAGUGGUCUGCCUGUGCUCCUGACUUGUUCCCAAAAUAUGUUGGGAUGUUUCAGAUGGUUCCAGGACAUCAUUUUGGACACGGCAUCACUUUAAAGCACUACGGGGGAAAACUUUACUUUCUUAAAAUUCUGGGUAACGAGACUUGAGUUGAUAUAUCUUCUCCUGUGAGACAUUCCAGCCCUCACUUGUUCUGCAGACAAAGCAAGUCAUGCAUUUUUCCCUCCAGUGAAAAGAGACCCUGGCUGCCGCCCGCCUGGAUUAACUACUUACUCUUCAGUGUUCUCAUUGCCCAGCCACUCAUUCAGCUUCUUCUGCCGAACACCUUUCUGAGUCAACCACCUGGAAAAGUUUUAAAAAGAAAACACAUUAAGAACCCGUGCUUCAUUUUAGCAAAUGCCAGUCAUGCGCAGACAGGGCUCCACCUCGGGCAAGAGAAAUGCAUCCGUAAUUACCUGGCACAUCAUGAAAGGCUUCCCCAAAGUUUCGCUAUGGAUUCCCAGCAGUUUCCCUGGGGGAAAGAAUGCUUUCUCGUCUGUCAUUUCACAGAAAUCAAGACCAGCUUUAAAGAGGAACAAUUUCUCAUUGCAAGAUGCUACCAGGACAUUUGAUUGGUGCUACCAUCUAGCAGCAGUUCAUGGCAUCCUGCUCCCUUUGGGGGUCCCAGGCACGUGAUGGCCUAAGGAAGAGCAAGUCUUCAGGAGAAGACAGCAGUGCAGGUAGCCUCAACCUCUCCUGGCAGGAUCAAAGCAUGGCUAAAUCCCCAUUUCAGGGCCCAGACAAAUCUGCGGA